GAAAGGAAAACAGUUAUUACCAUUCAUAUAAUAGGCCUAAAAGUUUAAAUUCAUUACAUUUUCAAAUGUCUCCACGAAGUAAAGCUUGUACAAAAUCAUCUUUUUCAUCAUUUGGUGCAGCAAAGAACAAUAUCAUGAGAUUUUCAUUAUCGACCAUCUUCUUCGUAACUUGAUACCUUAGCACUUUGAAAAUUCCAGAAAUAAUGGAAAGCUCCUCAUUGAGUUUCUUUUUUUGCUCAAUCAGAUUGUCCUCACAAAUUGCUUGACUAAACAUUUUGGCAGUUUCAUGAAGUUGAGUAGCUAUCAUCCUUGAAGCACUAUAAACAACCUCUGCAAGAAAACGACGACUGUAUCUCCACUUAGCAGUCUUUUCAUGAGCUUGUAUACCAAAGUUUUUCACAUGAUAGUAAACAAUGUGACAGUAGCUUCCAAGUCCAGUUAAUGUUCACAAGAUUUUUACAUGCCUAAGUUCUAAUAAAAUAAACAUAAUUCUAAUAAUUCUAGCAACAUGACAGUGUCUGGUCUGGCAAGCACAAUACCCAUGAUCACAAAGAUAAUGAGAACUCAGAGCAUUCUCAGCCACUCAUCCAAUUAGCAAGAAGAACUCUGUAUUUGGGCAGUACCCAAAUGGGAUUAGACUCAUUUCCACCAUUAAAGUUGCAGAGCAAAACUCUAGUGUAGCAGGAGAUGAUGAUGAGAUGAAACAAGAACCACCAGAUUAUAUAGUUAGUACCAAAUAUAUAGCAUAGUUUAUUAUUCAUCAAAUACAAGUUAGUAGUAGUAGGUAUAUAACUCUAAAAAUAAAUGAGUCUAAUUUAUGGUUUGCAAAUACAUACGUAUGGUGCAAGGCAACACAACCACCUCCGCUAGCUAUCCCUUGACAGGUCCAAGUCCAACACCGUAAGGCAGUUCAAAUUACUAAUGAACAAGCACAGAAUACUACUGAAUAUAUAGACACUUAAAGGCGGCUCAAUUAUCAGUGUAAAAUUAAAAUUUCAUUCACAAGUUAAUAAUAACUAUAUAUGGUUCAAUACAGAUUGAUUACACACACUUUUACUUUCUCUUUUUUUUGAAGAGGACAAAGGCUCAAUUAUUUAUUUGUGUGCAAAUUAGAAUGUCAUACACAAAGGAUCAAUUAUUUGUGAACAAAUUAAGUUCAGAAUCUGUUACACAAACUCAACCACAUUUCAGAGAUAAUAAAGAGUUCCAAAAAACAAAAUCAUUGCAGGAAUACAUUAUUCAAAGUUACAACAGUGUUUCAACUUAUUAAAAAGAUAAUCAUCCUUAAGAUCCUAGAUCAAAGAAGCAAGAACAACAAACUUAUAAACAGCAGCAGAACACACGAUGAAGAAGAAACAGAAAGCAACCCUGUGGUUUGUAUGAGACCUUAUAAAUCACGUCACCAAUAUACAGACACUGAAUACAAGAACAUAAAUACAAUGCAGUUUGAUUCUUGAAACUGGCACAAGUUCAAGUAUAGGCAGCAGAGUUUCUGUUUGCAGAAUUUGACAACCUUACCAUUUCAGUAUCCAUACAACUUAAGUUUCUCUCAAAUUGGUAGAUCAACAAGACCAUAAAACUUAAAUUGCUGAAAAUAAACAGAUAAAGCCCAGCUCAGAAUAUGGAAAACAAUCGUUGAAGAUGUAACUUUUAUUUUUUAAAAAAAGGAAGUCCUAUACUUGUUAGUUACCUUUGAGUCAAAUUAUCAAACAUUUAGAAGACAAAAAUGGAGGAUACUAUAGCAAAACAAACCAAAACCCAAGCAUUUAAAUUUAAUUAAACAUGGAAUUGAAAGAGUAGAGCAUAUAUACAUAUACACAUAUAACGAAAAUGAUAAAUCAAGAUUCAAACAACCCAUUCUGAGAAUUGAAAGCUUGAUUCAAGUAUUAAUUAUGAUAUGUAGAUUAAUUGGAAAUGAGAACGAGAUUGGUGAAGAUAUUGAAAGAGAAUGAUUGAAGAGAACCAAAAUACUUUUAUUCUACUUCAACGAUUUGCUCGAUCAAUUUGAUAUUUAAACGAGAUUGGUGCUAACUUGCUUUUUCCAUCGGUGAGAGAAAGGUAGGGAUCAG
rnacentral:lncRNA from 1 species